CCGUGCUAGACGGGGAGGUAGCGGUGCCCUGUAACCCGCAAUCCGCUAUAGCGGGGUUGAAUUCCUGGUUUGAGGUCUUGUAAUGUGGGGUCUGACGUCUGCACGUAGUGUUGACGGCCGGGUCCUCCGCAAUGGAUACUUGUGAACCCGGUCAGGUCCGGAAGGAAGCAGCCGUAAGCAAGAUUUUCCAUGUGCCGGAGGGCAGCCUAGCCUGAGCCAACGACAGAUGUUCCGCCCGGAUUGCCUGCCCGAGAACAGGUGCACGG
rnacentral:SRP_RNA from 1 species